GAAAUGCGAUAAGUAAUGUGAAUUGCAGAAUUCCGUGAAUCAUCGAAUCUUUGAACGCAUAUUGCGCCCUCUGGUAUUCCGGGGGGCAUGCCUGUCCGAGCGUCAUUGCGAACCCCUCAAGCACGGCUUGUGUGAUGGGCCCUCCCGCGUCUUGGUCGUCAAGACGGGCCCGAAAAGCAGUGGCGGCUUCGCGGUUAUCCGAUCAGCCAGAGCGUAUGGGGACUUUCUCUCUGUCACACGCCCGCGGCGCGGACCGACGCCUGUCGACCUUUAUUCAUCUUUUUCUCGGUUGACCUCGGAUAAGGUAGGGAUACCCGCUGAACUUAAGC
rnacentral:misc_RNA from 1 species